CCCCUAGAUGUUCUGGGCCGCACGCGCGCUACACUGAACAGUUCAACAAGUCUUAACCUUGGCCGAUAGGUCUGGGUAAUCUUUGAACGCUGUUCGUGAUUGGGAUAGACCUUUGCAAUUAUGGGUCUUCAACGAGGAAUUCCUAGUAAACGCAAGUCAUCAGCUUGCAUUGAUUACGUCCCUACCCUUUGUACACACCGCCCGUCGCACCUACCGAUUGAAUGGUCCGGUGAAAUCUCGGGACGGCGGCUUGGUCGCUUGCGUCCGACUGCUGAAACUUGAUUAAACCAUAUCAUUUAGAGGAAGGUGAANUCGUANCA
rnacentral:rRNA from 1 species